rnacentral:lncRNA from 1 species
UUUUCUCUUCUGACUAGGAUUUUUAGGGCUGAUGGAGGAGGAGUUUAAAUACUCAUGCCCACAAGAUCCCGACCCUUCGAUCGGGUUGACAUGGCACGUGAAGGGUCGUUCAAUCAUAAGCACGCAAAUCACUAGUGUGUGAUCCUGCAUAAGGCACCCUACUAGCAUAACCACCAUAUGACGUAAUCCGAUUAGCCGAGCUACCACGUGGGUUAUCCUACGUGGCCUGCUUUUCUAAAAUUGUAGAGUGGCCCUUGGUCACUUCAAAUCCUUUCAAAUGAGUCCCUUUUAAUUUAAAAAAUAUCCUAACAUCAAAAUUUAAUUUUCAAGAAAGCCA